rnacentral:piRNA from 1 species
GAGGGAACGGAACUGAGGACCGAUCC